rnacentral:rRNA from 1 species
CCUACGGGUGGCUGCAGUGAGGAAUAUUGGUCAAUGGCCGUAAGGCUGAACCAGCCAAGUAGCGUGAGGGAAGACUGCCCUAUGGGUUGUAAACCUCUUUUAUGCGGGGACAAAGGUGUCCACGCGUGGCUGUUUGCAGGUACCGCAUGAAUAAGGACCGGCUAAUUCCGUGCCAGCAGCCGCGGUAAUACGGAAGGUCCGGGCGUUAUCCGGAUUUAUUGGGUUUAAAGGGGGCGUAGGCCGGUCUUUAAGCGUGCCGUGAAAUUUUGGGGCUCAAACCUGUGAGUGCGGGGCGAACUGGAGACCUUGAGUGCGCGGAAGGCAGGCGGAAUGCGUGGUGUAGCGGUGAAAUGCAUAGAUAUCACGAAGAACCCCGAUUGCGAAGGCAGCAUACCGGAGCGUAACUGACGCUGAAGCACGAAAGCGCGGGUAUCGAACAGGAUUAGAUACCCGGGUAGUC